UACAGGGGGGGCAAGCGUUGUUCGGAAUUACUGGGCGUAAAGGGUUCGUAGGUGGCUACCUAAGUCAGACGUGAAAUCCCUCAGCUUAACUGGGGAACUGCGUCUGAUACUGGGUGGCUUGAGUGCAGGAGAGGAAUGCGGAAUUCCAGGUGUAGCGGUGAAAUGCGUAGAUAUCAAGAGGAACACCUGCGGCGAAGGCGGGUUGCUGGGCCGACACUGACGCUGAGGCGCGAAAGCCAGGGGAGCGAACGGG
rnacentral:rRNA from 1 species